rnacentral:rRNA from 1 species
UAAUACGGGGGGUGCAAGCGUUGUUCGGAAUUAUUGGGCGUAAAGAGCGUGUAGGCGGCUGAAUAAGUCAGAUGUGAAAUCCCUGGGCUUAACCCAGGAAGUGCAUUUGAAACUAUUCAGCUUGAGUAGGGGAGAGGAAAGUGGAAUUCCUGGUGUAGAGGUGAAAUUCGUAGAUAUCAGGAGGAACACCGGUGGCGAAGGCGACUUUCUGGCCCUAUACUGACGCUGAGACGCGAGAGCGUGGGUAGCAAACAGGAUUAGAUACCCUGGUAGUCCACGCUGUAAACGAUGUUCACUAGGUGUUGGGGGUAUUGACCCUCUCAGUGCCGCAGCUAACGCAUUAAGUGAACCGCCUGGGGAGUACGGUCGCAAGAUUAAAACUUAAAUGAAUUGACGG